rnacentral:rRNA from 1 species
AAAUUGAAGAGUUUGAUCAUGGCUCAGAUUGAACGCUGGCGGCAGGCCUAACACAUGCAAGUCGAACGGUAACAGGAAGCAGCUUGCUGCUUUGCUGACGAGUGGCGGACGGGUGAGUAAUGUCUGGGAAACUGCCUGAUGGAGGGGGAUAACUACUGGAAACGGUGGCUAAUACCGCAUAACGUCGCAAGACCAAAGAGGGGGACCUUCGGGCCUCUUGCCAUCAGAUGUGCCCAGAUGGGAUUAGCUUGUUGGUGAGGUAACGGCUCACCAAGGCGACGAUCCCUAGCUGGUCUGAGAGGAUGACCAGCCACACUGGAACUGAGACACGGUCCAGACUCCUACGGGAGGCAGCAGUGGGGAAUAUUGCACAAUGGGCGCAAGCCUGAUGCAGCCAUGCCGCGUGUAUGAAGAAGGCCUUCGGGUUGUAAAGUACUUUCAGCGGGGAGGAAGGUGUUGUGGUUAAUAACCGCAGCAAUUGACGUUACCCGCAGAAGAAGCACCGGCUAACUCCGUGCCAGCAGCCGCGGUAAUACGGAGGGUGCAAGCGUUAAUCGGAAUUACUGGGCGUAAAGCGCACGCAGGCGGUCUGUCAAGUCGGAUGUGAAAUCCCCGGGCUCAACCUGGGAACUGCAUUCGAAACUGGCAGGCUUGAGUCUUGUAGAGGGGGGUAGAAUUCCAGGUGUAGCGGUGAAAUGCGUAGAGAUCUGGAGGAAUACCGGUGGCGAAGGCGGCCCCCUGGACAAAGACUGACGCUCAGGUGCGAAAGCGUGGGGAGCAAACAGGAUUAGAUACCCUGGUAGUCCACGCCGUAAACGAUGUCUACUUGGAGGUUGUGCCCUUGAGGCGUGGCUUCCGGAGCUAACGCGUUAAGUAGACCGCCUGGGGAGUACGGCCGCAAGGUUAAAACUCAAAUGAAUUGACGGGGGCCCGCACAAGCGGUGGAGCAUGUGGUUUAAUUCGAUGCAACGCGAAGAACCUUACCUGGUCUUGACAUCCACGGAACUUUCCAGAGAUGGAUUGGUGCCUUCGGGAACCGUGAGACAGGUGCUGCAUGGCUGUCGUCAGCUCGUGUUGUGAAAUGUUGGGUUAAGUCCCGCAACGAGCGCAACCCUUAUCCUUUGUUGCCAGCGGUCCGGCCGGGAACUCAAAGGAGACUGCCAGUGAUAAACUGGAGGAAGGUGGGGAUGACGUCAAGUCAUCAUGGCCCUUACGACCAGGGCUACACACGUGCUACAAUGGCGCAUACAAAGAGAAGCGACCUCGCGAGAGCAAGCGGACCUCAUAAAGUGCGUCGUAGUCCGGAUUGGAGUCUGCAACUCGACUCCAUGAAGUCGGAAUCGCUAGUAAUCGUGGAUCAGAAUGCCACGGUGAAUACGUUCCCGGGCCUUGUACACACCGCCCGUCACACCAUGGGAGUGGGUUGCAAAAGAAGUAGGUAGCUUAACCUUCGGGAGGGCGCUUACCACUUUGUGAUUCAUGACUGGGGUGAAGUCGUAACAAGGUAACCGUAGGGGAACCUGCGGUUGGAUCACCUCCUUACCUUA